rnacentral:rRNA from 1 species
GGGAUAACCUUGCGAAAGUAAGACUAAUACCCAAUGAUAUCUCUAGAAGACAUCUGAAAGAGAUUAAAGACUUAUCGGUGAUGGAUGGGGAUGCGUCUGAUUAGCUUGUUGGCGGGGUAACGGCCCACCAAGGCGACGAUCAGUAGGGGUUCUGAGAGGAAGGUCCCCCACAUUGGAACUGAGACACGGUCCAAACUCCUACGGGAGGCAGCAGUGAGGAAUAUUGGUCAAUGGACGAGAGUCUGAACCAGCCAAGUAGCGUGCAGGAUGACGGCCCUAUGGGUUGUAAACUGCUUUUAUAAGGGAAUAAAGUUAGUCUCGUGAGACUUUUUGCAUGUACCUUAUGAAUAAGGACCGGCUAAUUCCGUGCCAGCAGCCGCGGUAAUACGGAAGGUCCGGGCGUUAUCCGGAUUUAUUGGGUUUAAAGGGAGCGUAGGCCGGAGAUUAAGCGUGUUGUGAAAUGUAGACGCUCAACGCCUGCACUGCAGCGCGAACUGGUUUCCUUGAGUACGCACAAAGUGGGCGGAAUUCGUGGUGUAGCGGUGAAAUGCUUAGAUAUCACGAAGAACUCCGAUUGCGAAGGCAGCUCACUGGAGCGCAACUGACGCUGAAGCUCGAAAGUGCGGGUAUCGAACAGGAUUAGAUACCCUGGUAGUCCGCACGGUAA